ACGAACGCUGGCGGCGUGCUUAACACAUGCAAGUCGAACGGAAAGGCCCUGCUUUUGUGGGGUGCUCGAGUGGCGAACGGGUGAGUAACACGUGAGUAACCUGCCCUUGACUUUGGGGUAACUUCAGGAAACUGGGGCUAAUACCGGAUAGGAGCUCCUGCUGCAUGGUGGGGGUUGGAAAGUUUCGGCGGUUGGGGAUGGACUCGCGGCUUAUCAGCUUGUUGGUGGGGUAGUGGCUUACCAAGGCUUUGACGGGUAGCCGGCCUGAGAGGGUGACCGGCCACAUUGGGACUGAGAUACGGCCCAGACUCCUACGGGAGGCAGCAGUGGGGAAUAUUGCACAAUGGGCGGAAGCCUGAUGCAGCAACGCCGCGUGCGGGAUGAUGGCCUUCGGGUUGUAAACCGCUUUCGCCUGUGACGAAGCGUGAGUGACGGUAAUGGGUAAAGAAGCACCGGCUAACUACGUG
rnacentral:rRNA from 1 species